GCUGGCGUAGCUCAGCUGGUAGAGCAGCUGUUUCGUAAACAGCAGGUCCUCGGUUCAAGUCCGAGCGCCAGCU
rnacentral:tRNA from 1 species